rnacentral:rRNA from 1 species
CAGUUGGGAAUCUUGGGCAAUGGGGGAAACCCUGAUCCAGCCAUGCCGCGUGAGUGAUGAAGGCCUUCGGGUUGUAAAACUCUUUCGACGGGGACGAUAAUGACGGUACCCGUAGAAGAAGCUCCGGCUAACUUCGUGCCAGCAGCCGCGGUAAUACGAAGGGGGCUAGCGUUGUUCGGAAUUACUGGGCGUAAAGCGCGCGCAGGCGGUUCUCCAGGUCCGUGGUGAAAGCCCGGAGCUCAACUUCGGAACUGCCAUUGAUACUGUUGAACUUGAGGGCGAGAGAGGUGAGUGGAAUUCCCAGUGUAGAGGUGAAAUUCGUAGAUAUUAGGAAGAACACCGGUGGCGAAGGCGGCUCACUGGCUCGUAUCUGACGCUCAGGCGCGAUAGCGUGGGGAUCAAACGGGAUUAGA